GACAAGAAACAUAUAUGUUUGGAUGAAACAUUCAGCACUGGGUUUCUGAAGAAUGAGAAGAGAUUCAAUGUGGCAGUGACGAGAGCAAAAUCCCUGCUCAUCAUGGUUGGAAACCCCAUCAUUCUACAGACAGAUGCAAACUGGGGCAGGUUUAUUCAUUACUGCAUUGAGAAGGGAGGUUAUACUGGAUAUGAUAUUUCCAAUUUGGAGGAAACGGAGGUGGUUGUUGA